UACGUAGGGGGGCUAGCGUUGUCCGGAAUCAUUGGGCGUAAAGCGCGUGUAGGCGGUCCGGUAAGUCCGCUGUGAAAGUCGAGGGCUCAACCCUCGAAUGCCGGUGGAUACCUGUCGGGCUUGAGUACGGGAGAGGCGAGUGGAAUUCCUGGUGUAGCGGUGAAAUGCGCAGAUAUCAGGAGGAACACCGAUUGUGAAGGCAGCUCGCUGGAACGUUACUGACGCUGAGACGCGAAAGCGUGGGAGCAACAGG
rnacentral:rRNA from 1 species